AUAGCAUGACGUGGACACUUGCAGAUGAGAUCUUUGAGUCUCUCCCAAGUCUCAUGAAAUAUCUCCCCAUCCAUUUGGGAAAAACUGAUAAUGGCUUUUCUGAUUU